GUACGUGACAGAGACCCAGGCCGUGCCCCGCUAUGUGACGCAGACCCAGGCAGUGCCCCAUUACGUGACGGAAACAGUGCCACAGUACGUGACCACAACCGUCCAGCAGCAGGAGUACGUCACUGUCGACCAGUACUGCAAGCCCUCCGGAGGUUAUGGCUACAGCGGCUGAAAUGCAGGCGUACAUUCUUAUCUAUCAUGGAAAAAAACUUGUAUAAUUCUUAAUAAAAUUAUUGAUUAUUA